GUACAUGCCUACAUCGUAGCGUUAAUGCGCCAAAUCCCAUUAGAACUCCACAAUUAAGCGUGAUCGAGCUAGAGUAGUACUAGGGUGGGUGACCACUGUCAGACAGUUAUCUUAGGUUGAUGGACA
rnacentral:rRNA from 1 species